CUUAAAAAUUCAAAACUUUGGUAAAAUAUAUAUUUUUUGUCCUUAAAAUUUGUUAAAAAUUUUAAAAAUAAUCUUAAGUUUUAUUUUGUUUUAAUUUUGUCCUAAAGUUUUCAAUUUACAUCAAAU